CCGACACAUCGCCAACCUCCCAGAUGCCGACAUCGCCGGGCCUCAUCGCCUCCCUACCUGCUCCCCUCGCCGGACCUCCCCGCUGCCACCACGCAGAACCGGCGCGCUCCCCGUUGGCUUUUCAACACCUCCACGAGCAGGCGACCCACGCGCACACCACUCUCCGCUGCACCAGGUGCUUGUGUUAUUGCCUCAAAGAUUGUGGUGUUAAUCUUUUAGGAUCACUAACUUUCUGGAUUAAUUUGUUCUGUCAAGUGAGGAAGUGAUGGUGCACGAGGACGAGCUUCCUGGACAAGAAGAUCUCCGUACGCUUCUCGAUGGUGCAAAAUUGAGGUGUUCUCAGUGACCUGUUCUGGCUACUGAUGGACAUUAUCUAACACAUGUCUUUGAACUGAAAAAUAAUAUAGUUGUUAAAUGUUUAUUCAGUUCAGAGAUGCAAAUAUAAUACAGUACCAGUUUGGAUUUUUUUUCUAUUUAAGGUCUUUAUGUAAAAUUUUCUUCAUACUAUGCUUGAAACAGUACUGGUUUCAGUAGAUAUUUUUUAGCUAUUAAUGAUAAUUAGGUCCAACUUUUUCUUUCAUUUGGAGCAAGUUCACUUUCGCCUUAUUAUUGCUCUACAUACUGAUACAAAUCUAGGAGAUUGCUCUUUUCUAGACACCUGCCGCCACACUAAGUACUAUCUCACUUUUCCUUUUUUUACUUUUUAGUGACAAUGAACACGAGCGCAUAUGCUUUGUUGAGUGGUGUUCAUUUACUUGCUUGAUCCAUAGGAACUGGAGUUCUAGAAGAAAAACUACUGAGCUUUAUUUCUUCUGUAACCAUUGCAAAGAGGUGAACUACAUUUUGGGCAUAUGUUCAUGUACUAUUCAGGCUCAGAAUCAUUUUUAACAGUUUUUUUGGACAUUCUUCCUCACGGACCUGCCUGUUAUAGUAUUAUUUUUUAUGAGAACAAUACAACUUUUGAACUCAGCCUAUAAUCAUCGACCUCUGCUUACUGUAAGUUCAAGCUCUGCUCUGGAAUUGCUUUGAUUGACUAUCAAUUAGCAUGCACCUCUGACAUGUAUUGGCAAAUGCAGCCGUGAUGGCGGGCCGUUCCAAGAAAACAUUUAUGGAUGAAUAGAUGGUUGCUUUCAUAUGCCAAAACUUGUUGAAUUCUUCUGUUCUUUGGAUCGAUCUGUGGAUGCUACAUAUCGUAGGCUGGUGGGUUCCCUUGCUCAGAUCGAGUAGUUGAGGCCACAGAAGUUGAAGGCGAAGGUGAAGAAAGCGUUGUCUUGAUCGGGUGACGAGGUGUCACAGGAGGCCGCUGUGCGUGGCGAUGGCCUCACGGAGGCACACCGGUGGUGGAGGGCUUCUUAUCUCUUAAUUAGGUCGUCACAGAUGUGCGUGAACAAUGACCCUGCAAGCAAUGGCAUGUCUCUGUGUAAGCCAUGAAGCUCCUAAGUUUCCAUGAUCCAGACUGGUGCCAUUCUUCCGAGAACACAAUUGACAUGUCGUGCGGAGUAGGAGAUUUUUCACUGGUUAUUAUACAUGCGUGAGACCUCAGAAGUUACAGGGGAAUGAGUGACGCCACAUUCAAGAUCAGAAUUAGUUUUUUUAGGGAAUGAUAAGAAAGUUAGUGAGAAUGAGGUAACAUGCAUUUCUUAGAUUUGUUCAGAAUGACGGGGCUGCGGUUUUGGGAGCUUGGAUGUAUGGAUCCGAUUGUAAAACUAUCUACUCCUACCAAUAGAUAUGACAUUGCUCAUGUCAACUUUUCAAAAAUAAUAUGCUUGUUUGCGAUGGAAUAUGAGUGUACUUUCUUUAA